GAUGAACGCUGGCGGCGUGCCUAAUACAUGCAAGUCGAGCGAACGGACGAGAAGCUUGCUUCUCUGAUGUUAGCGGCGGACGGGUGAGUAACACGUGGAUAACCUACCUAUAAGACUGGGAUAACUUCGGGAAACCGUAGCUAAUACCGGAUAAUAUUUUGAACCGCAUGGUUCAAAAGUGAAAGACGGUCUUGCUGUCACUUAUAGAUGGAUCCGCGCUGCAUUAGCUAGUUGGUAAGGUAACGGCUUACCAAGGCAACGAUGCAUAGCCGACCUGAGAGGGUGAUCGGCCACACUGGAACUGAGACACGGUCCAGACUCCUACGGGAGGCAGCAGUAGGGAAUCUUCCGCAAAGGGCGAAAGCCUGACGGAGCAACGCCGCGUGAGUGAUGAAGGUCUUCGGAUCGUAAAACUCUGUUAUUAGGGAAGAACAUAUGUGUAAGUAACUGUGCACAUCUUAACGGUACCUAAUCAGAAAGCCACGGCUAACUACGUG
rnacentral:rRNA from 1 species